UGCAAACUGCGAAUACCGGAGAAUGUUAUCACGGGAGACACACGGCGGGUGCUAACGUCCGUCGUGAAGAGGGAAACAACCCAGACCGCCAGCUAAGGUCCCAAAGUCAUGGUUAAGUGGGAAACGAUGUGGGAAGGCCCAGACAGCCAGGAUGUUGGCUUAGAAGCAGCCAUCAUUUAAAGAAAGCGUAAUAGCUCACUGGUCGAGUCGGCCUGCGCGGAAGAUGUAACGGGGCUAAACCAUGCACCGAAGCUGCGGCAGCGAACGUAUCACCCAAGACAACUUUACGGAGUUGACGAUUGACGGAGCGAAGCGACGUCAAAGCGUUCAUUAAAGUCGAGUUGGCUUAGGGAUACGUUCGUUGGGUAGGGGAGCGUUCUGUAAGCCUGUGAAGGUGUGUCGUGAGGCAUGCUGGAGGUAUCAGAAGUGCGAAUGCUGACAUAAGUAACGAUAAAGCGGGUGAAAAGCCCGCUCGCCGGAAGACCAAGGGUUCCUGUCCAACGUUAAUCGGGGCAGGGUGAGUCGACCCCUAAGGCGAGGCCGAAAGGCGUAGUCGAUGGGAAACGGGUUAAUAUUCCCGUACUUGGUGUUACUGCGAAGGGGGGACGGAGAAGGCUAUGUUGGCCGGGCGACGGUUGUCCCGGUUUAAGCGUGUAGGUGUGUGUUCCAGGUAAAUCCGGUUCACUUUAACACUGAGGCGUGACGACGAGGCACUACGGUGCUGAAGCAACAAAUGCCCUGCUUCCAGGAAAAGCCUCUAAGCAUCAGGUAACAC
rnacentral:rRNA from 2 species